rnacentral:rRNA from 1 species
UAAGCAUAUCAAUAAGCGGAGGAAAAGAAACUAACAAGGAUUCCCUUAGUAACUGCGAGUGAAACGGGAAAAGCUCAAAUUUAAAAUCUGAUGGUCUUUUGGCUGUCCGAGUUGUAAUCUAGAGAAGUGCUACCUGCGCUGGACCAUGUACAAGUCUCCUGGAAUGGAGCAUCAUAGAGGGUGAGAAUCCCGUCUUUGACAUGGACUUACCAGGGCUUUGUGGUGUGCUCUCAAAGAGUCGAGUUGUUUGGGAAUGCAGCUCAAAAUGGGUGGUAAAUGCCAUCUAAAGCUAAAUAUUGGCGAGAGACCGAUAGCGAACAAGUACCGUGAGGGAAAGAUGAAAAGAACUUUGGAAAGAGAGUUAAACAGUACGUGAAAUUGCUGAAAGGGAAACGCUUGAAGUCAGUCGCAUUGGCUGGAAAUCAACCACUGCUUUUGCUUGGUGUACUUUCUGGCUGAUGGGUCAGCAUCAAUUUUGAUCGUUGGAUAAAGGCUUUGGGAAUGUGGCAUCUUAGGAUGUGUUAUAGCCCUUGGUCACAUACAGCGGUUGGGAUUGAGGAACUCAGCAYGCCGCAAGGCUCGGGUUUUUACCACGUUAUGUGCUUAGGAUGCUGGCAUAAUGGCUUUAAUCGACCCGUCUUGAAACACGGACCAAGGAGUCUAACAUGCAUGCGAGUGUUUGGGUGGAAAACCCAUGCGCGCAAUGAAAGUGAAAAGUUAAGAUCCCUGUCAUGGGGAGCAUUGACGCUCGGACCAGACCUUUUGUGACGGAUCCGCGGUAGAGCAUGUAUGUUGGGACCCGAAAGAUGGUGAACUAUGCCUGAAUAGGGUGAAGCCAGAGGAAACUCUGGUGGAGGCUCGUAGCGAUUCUGACGUGCAAAUCGAUCGUCAAAUUUGGGUAUAGGGGCGAAAGACUAAUCGAACCAUCUAGUAGCUGGUUCCUGCCGA